rnacentral:rRNA from 1 species
GACGAACGCUGGCGGCGUGCUUAACACAUGCAAGUCGAACGGUGAAGGGGUCUGCUUUUGUGGGCCCUGGAUGAGUGGCGAACGGGUGAGUAACACGUGAGUAACCUGCCCCCUUCUUCUGGAUAACCGCAUGAAAGUGUGGCUAAUACGGGAUAUUCUGGGUCUGUCGCAUGAUGGGUCUGGGAAAGAUUGCGCCUUUGGGUGUUUUUGGUGGGGGAUGGGCUCGCGGCCUAUCAGCUUGUUGGUGGGGUGAUGGCCUACCAAGGCGGUGACGGGUAGCCGGCCGGGGAGGGUGGACGGUCACACUGGGACUGAGACACGGCCCAGACUCCUACGGGAGGCAGCAGUGGGGAAUAUUGCACAAUGGGCGCAAGCCUGAUGCAGCGACGCCGCGUGAGGGAUGGAGGCCUUCGGGUUGUAAACCUCUUUCGCCAGUGAAGCAGGCCUGCUCCUUGUGGGUGGGUUGACGGUAGCUGGAUAAGAAGCGCCGGCUAACUACGUG